rnacentral:rRNA from 1 species
GCAGGCGCGAAACCUUUACACUGCACGCAAGUGCGAUAAGGGGACUCCGAGUGCGAGGGCAUAUCGUCCUCGCUUUUCUGUACCGUAGGGUGGUACAGGAACAAGAGCUGGGCAAGACCGGUGCCAGCCGCCGCGGUAAUACCGGCAGCUCAAGUGAUGGCCGAUCUUAUUGGGCCUAAAGCGUCCGUAGCCGGCCUCGCAAGUCCGUCGGGAAAUCCACGCGCCCAACGCGUGGGCGUCCGGCGGAAACUCCGAGGCUUGGGACCGGAAGGCUCGAGGGGUACGUCCGGGGUAGGAGUGAAAUCCCGUAAUCCCGGACGGACCACCGAUGGCGAAAGCACCUCGAGAAGACGGAUCCGACGGUGAGGGACGAAAGCUCGGGUCUCGAACCGGAUUAGAUACCCGGGUAGUCCGAGCCGUAAACGAUGUUCGCUAGGUGUGGCACUGGCUACGAGCCAGUGCUGUGCCGUAGGGAAGCCGAGAAGCGAACCGCCUGGGAAGUACGUCCGCAAGGAUGAAACUUAAAGGAAUUGGCGGGGAGCACUACACCGGAGGAGCCUGCGGUUUAAUUGGAGUCAACGCCGG